CCUACGGGAGGCAGCAGUGGGGAAUAUUGGACAAUGGGCGAAAGCCUGAUCCAGCAAUGCCGCGUGAGUGAUGAAGGCCUUAGGGUUGUAAAGCUCUUUUACCAGGGAUGAUAAUGACAGUACCUGGAGAAUAAGCUCCGGCUAACUCCGUGCCAGCAGCCGCGGUAAUACGGAGGAGCUAGCGUUGUUCGGAAUUACUGGCGUAAAGCGCGCGUAGGCGGCGAUUCAAGUCAGAGGUGAAAGCCGGCGGUCAACC
rnacentral:rRNA from 1 species